rnacentral:rRNA from 1 species
AUACGGAGGGUGCAAGCGUUGUUCGGAUUUAUUGGGCGUAAAAGCGCGUGUAGGCGGUUUGUUAAGUCUGAUGUGAAAGCCCUGGGCUCAACCUGGGAAGUGCAUUGGAAACUGGCAGACUUGAAUACGGGAGAGGGUAGUGGAAUUCCUAGUGUAGGAGUGAAAUCCGUAGAUAUUAGGAGGAACACCGGUGGCGAAGGCGGCUACCUGGACCGAUAUUGACGCUGAGACGCGAAAGCGUGGGGAGC